CAGCCGUAAACUAUGCGCGUUAGGUGUACUGGUGACCACGAGUCACCGGGGUGCCGAAGGGAAACCGUGAAACGUGCCGCCUGGGAAGUACGGUCGCAAGGCUGAAACUUAAAGGAAUUGGCGGGGGAGCACCACAGCGGGCGGAGCCUGCGGUUUAAUUGGACUCAACGCCGGAAAUCUCACCGGAUAGGACAGACAUAUGAUAGUCGGGCUGAAGACUCUACUUGAUGAUCUGAGAGGAGGUGCAUGGCGUCAGUGACU
rnacentral:rRNA from 1 species